UGUUGCCCGUGGUAUCUAAUGUCUAGAGUGUUUGUGUUGCUGGAUGUUUCGUUUUGAGGGCAGAAAUAUAAAGCAGAUCUUGCGACACAGUUAGCUUCAUUUGUAAUAAGCUUUCUGUUACAUUAUGCCUGCUUACAUUG